rnacentral:misc_RNA from 1 species
UGGCUCUCGCAUCGAUGAAGAACGCAGCGAAAUGCGAUAAGUAAUGUGAAUUGCAGAAUUCAGUGAAUCAUCGAAUCUUUGAACGCACCUUGCGCCCCUUGGUACUCCGAGGGGCAUGCCUGUUUGAGUGUCAUCAGACCAUCAACCCGACUGGCUUUCGAGCUCAUCGGAGUUUGGACUUUGCGGCGUGCGGGAGACUUGUCAUGAGCCCUCCCGCUCCUCGCGGAAUGCAUCAGCGGACGUCCACCUGCGGACUGACCUUGGCGUGAUAACCAUCUACGUCUCGGCUCAGCCAACGCGUCUCUUGGCUCUGCUUCGAAUCCGGGCCCGUGCUUUGCUGUGCGAUAGCCCACUGACAACUUUGACCUCAAAUCAGGUAGGAUUACCCGCUGA